UAUGAACGCUGGCGGCGUGCUUAACACAUGCAAGUCGAACGAUGAAGCCCAGCUUGCUGGGUGGAUUAGUGGCGAACGGGUGAGUAACACGUGAGUAACCUGCCCUUAACUCUGGGAUAAGCCUGGGAAACUGGGUCUAAUACCGGAUAGGAGCGCCUACCGCAUGGUGGGUGUUGGAAAGAUUUAUCGGUUUUGGAUGGACUCGCGGCCUAUCAGCUUGUUGGUGAGGUAAUGGCUCACCAAGGCGACGACGGGUAGCCGGCCUGAGAGGGUGACCGGCCACACUGGGACUGAGACACGGCCCAGACUCCUACGGGAGGCAGCAGUGGGGAAUAUUGCACAAUGGGCGAAAGCCUGAUGCAGCGACGCCGCGUGAGGGAUGACGGCCUUCGGGUUGUAAACCUCUUUCAGUAGGGAAGAAGCGAAAGUGACGGUACCUGCAGAAGAAGCGCCGGCUAACUACGUG
rnacentral:rRNA from 1 species